UAGGGAAUAUUGGACAAUGGGGGCAACCCUGAUCCAGCCAUGCCGCGUGAGUGAAGAAGGCCCUCGGGUUGUAAAGCUCUUUUGUCCGGAAAGAAAAGCUUCGGGUUAAUACCCCGGGGUUCUGACGGUACCGGAAGAGUAAGCACCGGCUAACUUCGUGCCAGCAGCCGCGGUAAUACGAAGGGUGCAAGCGUUACUCGGAAUUACUGGGCGUAAAGCGUGCGUAGGUGGUUGUUUAAGUCUGAUGUGAAAGCCCUGGGCUCAACCUGGGAAUGGCAUUGGAAACUGGGCAGCUAGAGUGCGGUAGAGGGUAGUGGAAUUCCCGGUGUAGCAGUGAAAUGCGUAGAGAUCGGGAGGAACAUCUGUGGCGAAGGCGACUGCCUGGACCAGCACUGACACUGAGGCACGAAAGCGUGGGGAGCAAACA
rnacentral:rRNA from 1 species